rnacentral:tRNA from 1 species
AGUGUCGUAGUCGAGUGGUUUAAGCACUUGACUAGAAAUUUACAGGACGUAGGUUCGAUCCCGACCCGGCACUA